CCUACGGGUGGCAGCAGUAGGGAAUUUUCGGCAAUGGGGGGAACCCUGACCGAGCAACGCCGCGUGAACGAAGAAGUUAUUCGGAUUGUACAGUUCUUUUAACAGGGAAGAAAGAGAAAUUUGACGGUACCUGAAGACUCAGCUCCGGCUAACUACGUGCCAGCAGCAGCGGUAAUACGUAGGGAGAGAGCGGUAUACGGAAUUAUUGGACGUAAUGGGUGCGUAAAUGGAAUAGAAAGUUUUUGGGAAAAAUGCGGGGCUCAAGCCAGUAGGGCAAACGAUACUGCUAAGCUAGAGUAUGAGAGAGGAAAGUGGAAUGACAAGUGUAGCGGUAAAAUGCGUAGAUAUAUGUAAGAACACCAGUGGCGAAGGCGGCUUGCUGGGUCGAUACUGACAUUGAGGCACGAAAGCGUGGGGAGCAAACAGGAUUAGAUACCCGAGUAGUC
rnacentral:rRNA from 1 species